CCUACGGGUGGCAGCAGUAGGGAAUUUUCGUCAAUGGGCGCAAGCCUGAACGAGCGAUGCCGCGUGCGUGAAGAAGGCCUUCGGGUCGUAAAGCUCUGUUGCGGGGGAAAAAAGGCAGCAUCAGGAAAUGGGUGCUGACUGAUGGUGCCCUGCCAGAAAGUCACGGCUAACUAUGUGCCAGCAGCCGCGGUAAUACGUAGGUGGCGAGCGUUAUCCGGAAUGAUUGGGCGUAAAGGGUGCGCCGGCGGUCCUGCAAGUCUGGAGUGAAACGCAUGGGCUCAACUCCUGCAUGGCUUUGGAAACUGGAAGACUAGAGAGAAGGAGAGGGAAGUGGAACUCCAUGUGAAGCGGUGAAAUGCGUAGAUAUAUGGAAGAACACCAGUGGCGAAGGCGGCCGCCUGGCCUGUUGCUGACGCUGAGGCACGAAAGCGUGGGGAGCAAAUAGGAUUAGAUACCCGGGUAGUC
rnacentral:rRNA from 1 species